rnacentral:rRNA from 1 species
AAUCCAUAGGUUAAUGAGGCGAACCGGGGGAACUGAAACAUCUAAGUACCCCGAGGAAAAGAAAUCAACCGAGAUUCCCCCAGUAGCGGCGAGCGAACGGGGAGGAGCCCAGAGCCUGAAUCAGCAUGUGUGUUAGUGGAAGCGUCUGGAAAGGCGCGCGAUACAGGGUGACAGCCCCGUACACAAAAGCGCAUGUGCUGUGAGCUCGAUGAGUAGGGCGGGACACGUGGUAUCCUGUCUGAAUAUGGGGGGACCAUCCUCCAAGGCUAAAUACUCCUGACUGACCGAUAGUGAACCAGUACCGUGAGGGAAAGGCGAAAAGAACCCCGGCGAGGGGAGUGAAAAAGAACCUGAAACCGUGUACGUACAAGCAGUGGGAGCACAGGUUUACCUGUGUGACUGCGUACCUUUUGUAUAAUGGGUCAGCGACUUAUAUUCUGUAGCAAGGUUAACCGAAUAGGGGAGCCGGAGGGAAACCGAGUCUUAAUUGGGCGUUAAGUUGCAGGGUAUAGACCCGAAACCCGGUGAUCUAGCCAUGGGCAGGUUGAAGGUUGGGUAACACUAACUGGAGGACCGAACCGACUAAUGUUGAAAAAUUAGCGGAUGACCUGUGGCUGGGGGUGAAAGGCCAAUCAAACCGGGAGAUAGCUGGUUCUCCCCGAAAGCUAUUUAGGUAGCGCCUCGUGAAUUCAUCUCCGGGGGUAGAGCACUGUUUCGGCUAGGGGGCCAUCCCGGCUUACCAACCCGAUGCAAACUGCGAAUACCGGAGAAUGUUAUCACGGGAGACACACGGCGGGUGCUAACGUCCGUCGUGAAGAGGGAAACAACCCAGACCGCCAGCUAAGGUCCCAAAGUCAUGGUUAAGUGGGAAACGAUGUGGGAAGGCCCAGACAGCCAGGAUGUUGGCUUAGAAGCAGCCAUCAUUUAAAGAAAGCGUAAUAGCUCACUGGUCGAGUCGGCCUGCGCGGAAGAUGUAACGGGGCUAAACCAUGCACCGAAGCUGCGGCAGCGAACGUAUCACUUAAAGCGAUUCAGCGGGUUACGAUUGACGGAGCGAAGCGACGUCAAAGCGUAUACAAAGUCGAGUCGGUUUAAGGAUACGUUCGUUGGGUAGGGGAGCGUUCUGUAAGCCUGUGAAGGUGUGUCGUGAGGCAUGCUGGAGGUAUCAGAAGUGCGAAUGCUGACAUAAGUAACGAUAAAGCGGGUGAAAAGCCCGCUCGCCGGAAGACCAAGGGUUCCUGUCCAACGUUAAUCGGGGCAGGGUGAGUCGACCCCUAAGGCGAGGCCGAAAGGCGUAGUCGAUGGGAAACGGGUUAAUAUUCCCGUACUUGGUGUUACUGCGAAGGGGGGACGGAGAAGGCUAUGUUGGCCGGGCGACGGUUGUCCCGGUUUAAGCGUGUAGGUGUGUGUUCCAGGUAAAUCCGGUUCACUUUAAC